rnacentral:lncRNA from 1 species
GGAGCUCCCAGAGGCGGUGGCGGGGGCGCCAGGGGGCGUCCUCCCAGCCCCGGGGACCGGACUGUGCACCUGGUGGCUGCAGGAGCUGCACUGUGGACUCCCCGGCCAGAUGGAAGCUUUCAGGUCCUCCAUUCCAGAGUUGACUGCCCAUCCAGCUCUUGAGCCCUCGGGACCCGUGCUCAGUUUUAUGAACUGAAGGCUUGGCCAGCAGUUGAUUUCUACAGGAUCCAAAGCACAUUGAUUGAGAGUUUGAAACACUGGACUGUAUCAUUUACUCCUGAAAUUGUUUCUCCAUCCCUCUGCCAUCAGCAACUGACUCCAUCUUGCAUACAGUUGCCCAUGAUUCAGUUGAGAAAAUGUCUAACUAUGUUCAUCUCAAGCCUCAUGCUUAUUUUUUAAUCCUUGUCAUUUGGUUUUCAAAGCAGUUUGUUAUUGAGGUAGGACUGGGGAGGGGGGUUGCCCAAGAUAUGCACAUUAUAUAUGAGAGUGAGAAAGAAUUUCUAAUUGAAUUCCAUCUACUUUACUCUGUUGAAGAUUAUGAAAAACAAUGAAGUGCUCUCUUUCUAGGAUAAUAACAGGUAUGGUUAAGUUUAUUCCCUUUGUCUCCUGAAUUUACUAGGAUUCUGAAGUAGAAAAAAGUGUAUCUUUUGAUCACUUAUAAACAUUUUUAGGAGUUCCCGUCGUGGCGCAGUGGUUAACGAAUCCGACUAGGAACCAUGAGGUUGCGGGUUCGGUCCCUGCCCUUGCUCAGUGGGUUAACGAUCCGGUGUUGCCGUGAGCUGUGGUGUAGGUCACAGACGCGGCUCGGAUCCUGCGUUGCUGUGCCUCUGGCGUAGGCCGGUGGCUACAGCUCCGAUUCGACCCCUAGCCUGGGAACCUCCAUAUGCCGCGGGAAUGGCCCAAGAAAAUAGCAAAAAAAAAGACAAAAAAACAAACAAACAAAAAACAACAUUUUUAAAUUGGUCAGUGAGAGCUAAAUAACACAAAUCAUUAACUUCACCUCCAGAAAGUUCAGACUCAAGUAUUUAAUGUACAAUUGUAAUAUCUCACUCCAGUGUUGCUUAGAUGCAACUCUCCUCCCUCUAUUGUUCCUGGGUUUAUUAAAAUGAAUUUGAGGUAAAUUUGCUAGUUCCUAGAACUAUUCAUGUUUCUAUGUUCUUUUGCAUUCAUUCCUUGUUCAACCAUUUACAAAUUUUCAUAAGGCUUUUAUUUGGAGUUCUGCUUUUCUUAAUUUAGAUAAAUAUUAUAACCUUGACAUAUUUUAUGUCUCAACUAUAUGGUUUAUAUAUAUGUUAGUGGGGGGGAAAUCCCUCCUUUAUGAAAGUAGGAUGUGUAUAAAACAUAGUCAUCCUUAGGUA